rnacentral:lncRNA from 1 species
GGGUCCUAGCAGUUCAGUAUGUUUAGCAUGCUCCUGCUUUUGUUCGUUGUUGUUCGUUACGAUUUCGACACAUCACCUCGAUUCUAUAUCAUCUAUCACAAUAAUAUAUUAUCAAUACAAUAAACUCCAAACAAUGAAUUCAGAAAACAAAUAACAGAUUCCAUCAUAACACAAAUUCAUAGUCGAAAUCCAAGCUCAAAUACAAAUAAAAAAAAAAACAAAUCGUCCAAAUAAAAUAAUUCAAACAUAAAUCCAAAUUUAAAAUUUAAAAAGAUCAC